rnacentral:rRNA from 1 species
AUAAGCGGAGGAAAAGAAACCAACAGGGAUUGCCUCAGUAACGGCGAGUGAAGCGGCAAAAGCUCAAAUUUGAAAUCCCCCGGGAAUUGUAAUUUGAAGGUGGCCUCAGUUAGUCCAAACAUUCUUAAGUCCAUUGGAAAAUGGCGCCAUGGAGGGUGAUAGCCCCGUAAAGAUGUCGUUUGUUCUAUUUUCUCUGGCCACCAAAGAGUCGAGUUGUUUGGGAAUGCAGCUCUAAGUGGGUGGUAAAUUCCAUCUAAAGCUAAAUAUUGGCGAGAGACCGAUAGCGAACAAGUACAGUGAUGGAAAGAUGAAAAGCACUUUGAAAAGAGAGUGAAAAAGUACGUGAAAUUGUUGAAAGGGAAGGGCUUGCAAGCAGACACAACCUCGUGUU